AUUGAACCCUGGCGCCAUGCUUUACACAUGCAAGUCGAACGGUAACAGGUUAAGCUGACGAGUGGCGAACGGGUGAGUAAUGCAUCGGAACGUGCCAGAUCGUGGGGGAUCACGCAGCGAAAGCUGCGCUAAUACCGCAUACGAACUGAGGAUGAAAGCGGGGGAUCGUAAGGCCUCGCGCGAUCGGAGCGGCUGGUGACGGAUUAGGUAGUUGGUGGGGUAAAGGCUAACCAAGCCGACGAUCUGUAGCUGGUCUGAGAGGACGACCAGCCACACUGGGACUGAGACACGGCCCAGACUCAUACGGGAGGCAGCAGGGGGGAACUUUGGACAAUGGGCGCAAGCCUGAUCCAGCAGUGCCGCGUGCAGGAAGAAGGCCUUCGGGUUGUAAACUGCUUUUGUACGGAGCGAAAAGGCUCUCUCUAAUACAGGGGGCUCAUGACGGUACCGUAAGAAUAAGCACCGGCUAACUACGUGCCAGCCGCCGCAGUAA
rnacentral:rRNA from 1 species